CCAGUCAGCAGCCGGACCGACCGACUUGCAGCACGUUGGCCCAAUUCAUCGUCAAACAAGGAGGAGGCACAACGAAGUGGGUCACCGCUAAAGCCUCACGUCAGCCGAAGACGAACCCGCGUUGAUGACGCUCCAAUUCCCAGGUGUGCGCGCUUUUAUUUUGGAAGCGCGCGGGCGGAGCGCCGGUGUCGCUGCGCGGCGUUUGACUUGACAGAUGGCAGGCGCGAGACGCUCCUCUCGGCUGUCUCUCUCGGUCCGUCGGUCCAUCCCGGUGCCCAUUGUUUCUCCCGUUCGCUCCUCGAAGACGAGCCGGAGACGCCAAACUAAACUUAGCCUCCGCCGCGCUCCCACCGCCUUUGCGGGUCGCGUUCGGACACUUCCCGAGACCCGAAUUUUGCAUCCACGCCUCUCCGUCCGAAAUGUGGACACGCUUGUGUGUUUAUUUGUUUUUUAACACUAUAUAAUUCUAGACGGAGGCGAGCAGCGGCGGACGAACCCUGCCUGUGUUGUGGAUGUGAUGGGGAGAUGAACCGGAGGAGGAGGACUUCGCACCCAGCGGAGACGCCGAAAUCAGCCCUCGGUGUCUGUUGACACAUCGCAACAUCCUAGCAACAAUCUUACCCGCCGUCCUCUGAGUGGAUAAACCGGUACAAUUCGGAAAACUUAACCGGAUUACAAGCGGAGGUUCGGGGAUAAACGCGCUCCGUUCGGUUUACGGCGUAAACGAACCUCAAAGGAUGUCGGCGCUGCAGCCGCGUUACUUGAACUGAGAAGAGGAAGCAGGGACCACUUUCACUUGUUUCCCCCACCCAGAAACAAAUUAGGCGGUUUCACUCAGCGAAAUCCAAGUGGAGCUUAAUCGGAUUAUUAAACGAGAGAACAUUUAAUCCCGGGGAAUAUCAAUCCAAUCGCAGCAUCUCGCUCUUUCCCUGAAGGGUUUCGGUGCUGGACCUUUGCUCAGAAUCCGGGCUUUCCAGCCCAGUGGACCCAGUGCGGGUUUACCUGCAGCCAGGAGGGCUCUCGGAAUGCGCCGCCUCAUCGGAUCAACUUCUUAGUGGCAGAGGUUUGGAAAAGCUUGACUAGCAUCCCCAGAGUCGGACCCCCCCCCCCCCCCCCCCUCAUCCUGCUGGACGUCCAGGGGACUGUCAGCAGCCGCUCCGCCGGAGUGAGGCCGUGACCUCUCACCCCCCCCGGGCCGCAGUUCUGGUAGCCGGCGCCGCUCUCCGGGCGGCCAGCCAGGCAGACAGACCUUCGGGGGCUUUUGGAUCUCGCGGGUCCAGCUGGAGUUGCACGCCGCCGGGGGGAGAGCGGGGGGAGAGGACGCCAUGGGGUGCUGUAGCGGCAGGUGCACCCUGGCCUUCAUAUGCGGCAUGCAGCUGGUCAGCGUGUUGGAGCGCCAGGUCAUCGAUUUCCUGGGCUACCAGUGGGCCCCCAUCCUGACCAACUUCCUCCACAUCAUCGUCGUCAUCCUGGGCCUGUUCGGCACCAUCCAGUUCCGGCCCAGAUAUGUGACCGGGUACGCGGCCUGGCUCGUCGUGUGGAUGACCUGGAAUGUGUUCAUCGUCUGCUUUUACCUGGAGGUUGGAGACCUCUCCAAAGACUCUGACCUCGUGCUGACAUUCAACCUGUCCAUGCACCGCUCCUGGUGGAUGGAGAAUGGCCCCGGGUGCAGGGUGACACCCAUCAAUCCUCCUCCUUCCUGGGCACCUGAGGACCACCGCUAUAUAUCUAUAUCUGGCUGCCUGGUGGACUUCCAGUUCAUAGAGGUGGCCCACUCGUCACUGCAGAUACUUCUGGCUUUGGUGGGGUUCAUCUACGCCUGCUACGUGGUCAAGCUCAUCUCUGAAGAGGAGGAUAGCUUUGGGGAACUGUGGCUUGAUAGGCAGCACAGCACACAGUUGGGGGAUCGAUUUCCUCGCGUGUUCAAAGGGUCGAGUGCAGCAGGAACUCUGCUAGGACUGUUUGACUGCAGCAUGACUCAGCAGAAAACCUCCACCGUUCACAACUGGGAGCCACGAGGAGACGGUUCAGGACCGACGACAGGCCUGGCGAUCAGUGACAUCAUCACAAUAAAAACACAGGAAACAAAGAAACCUGUAAAUGUUACGUCUCUUUUUUUAUUUUGUGCCACUUUCAGAUGCGUCUUUCUUGCGUCUAGCUGCUGUGAGGCAAAUGUAAAACAGCCGCUUUUAUCCGCAUUGUACCGAAUUUGGUGAAGUCUCGCUGUAUAAAUAGGAACGUGCGCUGCGGAUCAAGGCGAGGAAGUAGCCUUUUAUGAGCUCUCCAACAUCAAAGUUUAAAAAAAAGAAAGUGACGGCUCCAUCGGCUUCUGAAGUCCCACCGCCUGCGUCAGUCUGAGGAAGGAGACCACCUGCUGGGAGCUCUUCAGCUCAGGAGUCUGGAGCUCCCCUGCACCUUCACUGUACGUAGGAGCGGGACGCCUCCUCCAGGCGUAAAUAAAUUGCUGCGCAAGCAUUGGUGUUUGGCCUAAAAAUAGAAUUAGAUUUGCAUCCCAGGAUUUUGAUCCAGUCGACUAAACUGGUUUCAUCCCCGUGACACAGAUUAGCCGUACGCGGCACAGAUCAAGGACAAAGAGGCCUCCGUAGGUGGAGGACGACUAAUUCGUUGACUCAUACGUGGUGGGAGGCUCCCAGCUGACAACCCCACGCUGCCUCUAAUUAACGCCGUUCUCUGUGCAGUUGAUUUUAUAGGGGGCUUCGACUCCUACGGCUACCAGGGGCCCCAGAAGACGUCCCACCUGCAGCUACAGCCCAUGUACAUGUCAAAGUAAACCCAGGAAGUACUCCAGGAACACUGCCUUAUGAACCACCACUGCUUGACACCCUGCUUUUACUACUCCAUCUGACAUGUGGACAGAAUAUAGAAAACACUAGGAUGAUGUGUGAUUUAACCUCUAGUACAAAGCCCCUAACGCUCAGCAGACGUCCCUAAACUUCCUCUCUGCUGUUGUUAAUAGUUAGUCUGUUCCUGGUGAAACGCUGCCCUCGUGUGGCGACACGUGGUAACUACACGACUUUUUUUUUUUUUGUCCUUCUGAGGGACACAUCCGGGAGCCAAUAACCUGCUUCCUCCCGUGCUCUCGGGUAUCUGCAUGGCGACGGAAACCGAGGGGAUGCAAACAGGCCACGACGCAUCGGUGAUGUGUGUCUUCAGGCUUCCAAUGAUAACUCGAGGACUCCCUCCGCUGCCAGUGAUAUGUUCAGACGGAGCCAUGUUGUGUCACGCUACUGCAGAAAACAAUUCACGUGCAGAUUUGCCUGACCAAAGAGUUUUUUUUUAAAUCCCAGAGACACAUGUAUGUGCAUACAACAGAGCCUGUCUAACCAUCUCUGCCCAUGUCUUAACUUCCAACCAAACUGAGCAUCUCCUCAAACGACCGAUCAAGGAAUGUCGAACAUCAUUUCUUCAAAAUACAACUUUCUGGUGCAUUCUGGUGAUACUGACAGCAAAGAUAAAGGCUUGAUAGAAAUCAAGCUGGUUGUACUCAUCGUGAAUGUUAAAUUACAGUGUAACGUGUAGGUUUACAUAUUCUCAUCGCAUAAAGGACGUGCAUGUGUACAGGAAACACACACACACACGUAACACAACACAACCAACUAACCUUUUUACUACUAAUGUGAAUUUCAAUGUUUACAAAGGAGAACCUGUCAGACAGAAGUACUGAGCUGACGCAUGCAGCAGGUAGAUAGACAGGCAGGCGGCCCGCGAGUUGGACGGGCUCGCUGGCCUCUUGCCCUUUUAAUAUUUUGUCUUCCAUCCGAGGCAGAGAGACAGAGAGAGACCGAGGCGGUAAAAAAGGAAAGCAGGUUUGAGAAAAUCUUAUCUUUUUUGAGUUAAAAGCAAUGCUGAAAGCCAGAUAAAAAAACCUAAUCAGCCUUCUUGUCUGCAGCGUUCAGCUCUUCUUAGUAUCACAUCCAGUCUAAAAGGCAGACACAUGACAAUCACAGUCAAAGUGGCCUGAAUGCUGUCAUGGAUUGGCAUGUUUAUUAGUACAACUGCCGUCGUCAUCGUGAUCAUCACGUGGGAGCGGAGGCGCCUCCAUAAUAGGUGGCGUCAUUAAUUAUUUUGAUUCAUGUAAACAACAAUUGGUGAAAGGAGGAGAGCGGAGCGGUCAUGAGGACGCCGCAGAGAUGCCAGAGACUUCGCCAUUUUCACCCAGCAGCUGCAUUUUAAUGUUGAAAGUGCCAACAGUGUCACACGUGUGGGUCUCCAGCGCCUGGCUUCUCAAAAAGCCUCAAAAGCAGACUGGGACCAAAGCGAUGGGUCAACGUACUGUAAAACAGGCCGAUGCCAACAGAUCACCGUCGCAUUGUAACGAUCAGUGGGUUUUUCUGGUUUAAUUCUGUUGUGGGAAGAAACCGGACCAAACGUGUGCGUUUGCAUUUGAGUCACAACUCCUGGACCAAACAUUUGAGGCCUUCCCCGUCCACAAGCGACCUCUCGCGACACGAGUGGACCAACAGACCACUUCCAUCUACGAGCUGAGCUCCAAGUGCACGUUUCGGGCCUCUCCAGCAGGUUAUUGGUUCCGGAGCCGUGACCCGGCCGGCGGUCGCUCCGCGGAACGGAGACAGCGUUUGUGUGUGUUUGCAUGGGGUGUUUCCAAGCUGUUGCAUAUUUAAUCUCAUGCUGCGUGUGACUAACUAGCUACUUAAAACGGGAACUGUUCAGUCGGUUGAACGCUCCUCAACUUUCUGCAAAGAGUCCUUAAUGUGAAACUUUGUGAUUUUUCUAUGAAUAAUACAGUCUGAAAUGUCUGCCGAGUUAAGGAGAAAAAUAGCUACUACAAUGUAAAACCAUGAAAUGUAACUUUCAACUUCUAGACGUUUUUUAAUCCCGUGGCCGUGUUUACUGUUUUUUCUAGUUGACUACUAAUGUAUGAUGUUGUGUACAAGUGGAACUACUAUGUUUUAUUUCUUCUAAUUGUACAGUGUAUUUGAAACGAGCGUGUACGAGGACAAUGGGAGGAAAAGAGAAUUAGUUGCACUAUAGUCUAAGAUUCUUUCAGUAAAUGUUCUGUAAAGGCUGGAAAUUCACUUUCACUUCAGCACAUAAUGAACUUUACAUCGUUAUUAUUUUAUAUUUGAAUUGUCAAACAACACAGCAUAUUGAUUUUUAAUAAAUAAAACGGCUGCAGAUGAAGUGUGUUUGGGUAAAUUCGAACCAGGAACUGUGAAAAGGAUUGCAAACGUAUCAUUUAGCUGAAACACUGAGUGUGUUAUAAGCAAAUGACUCAAUGUGACCUGAAAGUGAAUUUACUUGUCUAAGUAAAGUAAAUAUUAACCAGGCACUGUGGAGCUAAUAUCAAACUAAACAGCAGAUUUAAAAGCCUAAAGUAAAUAAAAACUGAGAACAGAUUUCAGAUAUACAGUAUAAUGUGACCCAAGUGUGUGUGUAUGUGUGUGUUUGUGUGACUGUGUACGAUACUUUGUACUACGGCGCCUUGUUUUCUGUGUCAUGGUGAACUGAACAACACUUAACCCAGAACCUGCAAAGUCACAAGCAGCCCCGAACGCAACACACACAUAUACCAACAAAGCAAUAAAAACAUAUAACAAGAUAGCAAGAUAUUCUAUCAUUUCAACUGAAUUGGUAAUAAUUAAGACAGAUUUAUUUUAUUUGCCCUCAGAGUGGCUUCAGUUCAUCCAGGCUUUGGAACAGUCAAUAGCACUUUUAUGUAUAGCCUUUAUCUAGUGCUUCUGUGCAUACAAUAAAGUAUAAUUAGCUGCAGAGGCUGGAGCCAAGCUAUUUAUUUAGCUUAGUGGGUAAAUAAAAACUCAAUGAAGCCAUUGUAAUGUUAGCUGUAAAACUGUACUUCAUCUUUACAGUUGGUCAGAGUAUCACUACAAUUAUUAGUAUGGUGCUGUGCACUGUACAUGAGACAACCAACAAUACUUUGUGUAGUUUAUGGCCACAUUUGACAAGCCUCAGCAUUAUGAACUAUAUUCAUUAUUUUAACUAUGUUUUAUACAUACUAAUUGUUUAAUAAUUCCUUUUCGUAUGCCUCUAAUUUCAAUUGCAGGGCAUUAAAUUAGCAAUAAUUAAAGUUAAGCCAGUUUAGUCAGAUUUUGUGUACUUAUUCAGGUGCUCUGAAGUAUGUGAUACCACAGGAGGUCCAAAUAGCAAAAAGGUAGGAGUCAACGAUUUUCCUACUUAGUAGGAAUAUUAAGCAAGAGAAAAUAAUAGCAGCCAUUGCAGAACCAUGAGUUCCUCCACUGCCCAAACCACACUAUAUUAUAAUGUAAACACUAAAAUUCAUUCAGUCAAACAUUACGCAGUCAAAUCAUUAAGCAUCUACUAACUCAAUGAUGCAGGAACAUACCACUAAUUACUGUAUUUGCUCCCAUCUGUCCCUGUGGCUCUGGGUUGAUUUGUAAAUGUUCACCACUGACUAACUCUUCACUUUUGCUAAUGGUUUUCCCACAUGUGACUGACUGUACAUAAAUUAGACAGUUGGGAAUAAAGUAGACAGUGGAGAAGGAAAAUA